rnacentral:lncRNA from 1 species
AUUUAUAUAUGAAUGUAUCAAUAACAUUCUGAAUUAGACAUGUUUUUUUUUUUUUUCUUCUAGCGCUCAUGACAGAUGUUGCGAAAGGAGCGAGACCUCUCGCCUCUUUCUCAUCUCCGUUGCGAGCUGCACAUGCUCAGUGACGACAGGGGAGUGGCGGUGCGACGUUUGUUCUUUCAGGAGUGGAGUCCAUGGACGACUAUGUCUGGAAUCAGCACCUUUGAAUUCCAGACAAUCCAAGAUCCAAGAUGUCAUCCGACACCUUAAAGACUCAGCUCGUUUGGACCAGACUUUAUUAUCCAGAUGGGCCAAAUAAAGGACAAUGAUGAGGAGCUGACCCUGUGACUGAUAACAGAUGAUACUGCUACUGUCAUGACUUGGAGAUGAAAGACUUGUAAAAGCUUGCAUCUGCUGCUGUGUGUGAACACCUUUAACAAUAACCUGAUCCCGCAUGAGCAUUAAAAGGCGGACUGCUGUCAUGAUGACUGGGCCACGUUUUCUGGGUCUAUCAAGGCCCCGCUGCUUUAAGUGUGAUCUCCGGCAGGCAUUUCAACUAUGACUGUGCGGGAGCGCUCCGUCUGCCAAUAAAAACACUCAUGCACUGCGUCGUGCAAGCGGAGAAUUAAUCAUUCUUGCAUGUUUCGGGGCUAUAUUUAGUACGUUAUCACACUACUAGAUCAUUACCUUUUUUGGCUGAGUAUGAGGACAUUUUGUGCAAGUGUAAUGCUACUACAGCUUCAGUGAGUGUGCCCAACUUAAAGCUUAAAGUCAGCACGCUCUCUUUCAUUAACUGUUUGAAAGUCGUCUGUUUUUCCGCAUCGCUCACCACACGCUUUAGCACGGGGGAAACUAAUGAAGAACUAGACACUACAGUAUGAAACAUGGCACCAAAUCAAAGCGAAC